ACCGAGAGAACACGUUCAGGUUCCAGUGCGGAUGAAAAGGGAAUCCGGUGUAAAACCGGAACGGGCCCGCCGCUGUAAUCUCUUGCCUUGUGUUAGCAUAGGGAACUUUUUCGGCCACGUGAGCCACUGCGCAUAGUGGGAAGGCCGCCGAAAAAGAGAGAAAGUCAGAAGACCUGCCUGAAACGUAAUACUGAG
rnacentral:ncRNA from 2 species